rnacentral:lncRNA from 1 species
CUGUUGUUUAAGACUGUGUGUGGUAUUUUGUUAUGGCAGCCCAAGUGAAUAAGACAGUACCAAAUAGCUCUGGGCUGGCAGGCAUUGCUUUGGGUCAGUCAUACACAGAGUAGGUAUAUUUAUCUGUAAGAGAAACUCUACUGAUGCAAUCCAUGGUACACAAGUACCAAAGGCUGCGAGCGGUCACCGUUGAUUUGUCAAUGCUGUGGGCCCUGCCAUUGGUCCCAGAGUUAGUGUCAGCCAGUGGUCCUUUGGGGUCUUCCCCUCACCUCACCUUAAAUUUUUUGAUUCACAUUCCCUCUGCUUUGUUUGACUGCAUGAAGGUGGGACAGAUGCUGUGUUCGCAGGAGGGCACCAGUGUGCUUUUCUGUUUUCUCCCCUACUUCCCAAUCAUUCCAUCUGAAAAGAAUGCAUGAAACCAGAUUCUAAAGAACCAGCAUGUCUUUUUAAACUUCCUGGCCACCUCUUAGUGGGUGGAGAUCCCACAACAAAGCAGGAACUAUCUAGAGUAUAGAUGUCCGGCCAACCUGCUCACGUGGCCCAAAGGUGAGACCUGAGCUCACGGUUGCUAGCCACUGAGCACCCAGGCCAUGCUGAGCACAGGGCACCGCAGGGCAGAGACUUCUGAAGUUACAGCCUUGCCACUUAACGCGAGAAAGAGCUUCCCGAAGCCAGAAGCUCAACUAUGUGCUGCUCAAGAAUGGCAUGCUGGUGGUGGCAGGCAGCCUACGGAGGAACAGAGAAACGAUGUGGAGUAGCAGACCUGGCCUCAGUGUUACCUCCUUCUCCAUAACUGUGGGACUGGCAAGGAGAAAAGAAAGUGGGGCAACAACCAGAAGAGCCCAAAUGACUGCUUUUGUCCGGGCACAAAUAUCGCUAGUUAUGCCAUGCCCCCACUGAGCCUCUAGAUCCUUGUCAAAUCCUUUUCCGCAGACUAAAAUUAAUCAUUCACAUAUAAACAAAUGUAAAUAUAUUUUUAGCAUGCCUCAGAAAACCCACCUUCCUGUUGGGUUUUGGGGCUCUCUCUCCAAGUCAACUGGCAUAUCACAAAAGCAACUGCAACUGCUUAGAACUUUCCACCGCAUACAGGCGACUGUGACCCCAGGUGACAUCUGACUGUGGAUGCCAAAAUGACUUGUGUUGUGAGAUUACAAUCUCUAACUGCCUUGUGGUUUCAGAAGGCAGGAGAGGCCAGAACUUAAGAGAGGGUGAGGGCUUAAAAAUUCAAGGUGAGGAGUUCCAGAAAAACCCACACAUUUUGAGGGUCAUUUGUGUGGCUUCCUGCGGAAGGUUUUAAAAGCCAGAGCACAGUACUGUUGAGACGUUAGCCAGUGGAAAUAAAGGAAAUCCUCCACCCAGCCAAGCAGCUAGCUGGAUGGCAGCCCCCAGUUGGGGAUGGUAUUUCACCCUGUGAGGGCAGGCGGCAAAGGAAGAGAAACCGACCAACUGUCACCAAUCUGAAAGAAUUUGAGGGCCAGAAGGAUAACAGCAUGAUUUAAAAAAAAAAAAAAGUAUUCUUUUAAAGGCAUACACAGGACAUAUGAUCCCUAAGUAAUAGCUCGUAAUUAAUAAAAUAACUCUGUGUUCCUGCCAAAGUACUCUUUUUCUAACUCAUUUGCAGACAUUAGAUACCUCUUACCUCUUCUUUGCACUUAUCAUCAUUCCACGAAAAUACGAGAUUGGGGCAAAUAAGGAUUUGCAUUGACAGGACAUCUUGUGCUUUUCAAAUAGUCCGUUCCACCGAGAGGUUCCUUGACUUUGGCCUUCAGUCCUGACUUAAUUUCUUUGCUUAUGGGUAAAACAAGGAAUUCCUGUCACACUGCCAACAUCACCCCCUUUCUUCUCACCCCAAGGAGAGUGCAGAGAGGAGGCGAGACCAAGCCUGCCCAGAGUUGGAGUCUUGAGACGUGAGAUUCUCCAGCUGGAGCCCUAUAAAUUGGACUGACAAAAGACAGAUUAGCAAGAGAAAUGCAAGCAGCAGUUUAUUAACAUGUGCAUCAUGAUUACACAUGGAAGUACCCAGAGGCAGAAUUAAAGAUUCAAGAUGUACCUACUUCUUCCGGGGACAACAUUCAUGAUUCUUAAAGAUUUCACAAGUGUACCUUCUAAGGGUAAGUGGCUGGAAGUAGUAAGAGGUCAAUGCCAAGUGAAAUCCUCUGGCGUUUUCUUCUGACAACCAGGAGUCUGCAAAGUGUUUCACACAGCAAAGCCCAGGAGCACAGGUCUUGCAGCCUCUGGAUAACCAACUCGUCUCUCACCAGUGGUUCAAAAAAGCCCAUGCUAUCCUCAUCCAAAUAAACUUAUGAAAUGCUUUACCAAAUGAUUUGUUCAGAACAGUGAAUACUAGACACAACUUUGUGUGGAACAAGAGGAGAUCCAGUAAUGACAAUACAUCUUUUGUUAGAAAGACUUACAAAGGCUGUGACAUUCUUCUUUGAAGUGUUGUCAUUGUGUUGGAUGGGAUGAAGUGGUUCUAGGACACACAAAAAAGGAUCAAGAACAUCUGAGAAGACUACAGAUAAGUCCUUACUGCUGAUUUUGGACACAGGUCAGCCAUAUGAAGAUUCAGAUGAGCAGUCUGUGCUUCCUUUGCCUUAUCUCUCAAGAGCUGAGACCUUAUUUCUAUUCCACCUUGAACAAUUUUGUUUGAGUACAACAUAUUUACUGAUAUGGUCAGCUCAAGUCAUUGUGGAAUGAAUACUUAGAUGCUGCGUUCUUCCAAAAACUGAGCAGAACCUCCCUUCUGUGAACAUUUUCAAUAGGUUGUUUUCAAGGUGAGAAAGUGGGAGGGAGAAGGGGAUGAGCAUUGAAGUAAAUAUUUUUUUCUUCUUCUACUUUUGCUACUGGGAAUGUUCCUAUCCAGGAAGGCAGGUCCCCUUUUAUUUUAUCAGAUGCAGAGGAGUUAUCGUACCUCUGUUACCAAUUCUUUAUCCAUAAUUUAUGUUAGUAACAAGGGACCUGUUGCUAGCAGUUACUGAUGAAAACAAAAGCUGGUGGCUUUCUGGAAGAAGGGGGCGUGUGAUCUCAAGAGAGUUGCAUCAUGGCCAUACUCCUCUAAGUUUCUAAUUUUUUUUCCUUUUUUUUUUUUUUUGAGACAGAGUCUCAUUCUGU